rnacentral:misc_RNA from 1 species
GAUGAAGAACGCAGCGAAAUGCGAUACGUAAUGUGAAUUGCAGAAUUCAGUGAAUCAUCGAAUCUUUGAACGCAUAUUGCGCUCUUUGGUAUUCCGAAGAGCAUGCUUGUUUGAGUAUCAGUAAACACCUCAACCUCUUCUUGAUUUUUCAAAAGGAGGGUGGACUUGAGCUAUCCCAACAACCUUUACCGGUCGGCGGGCGGCUUGAAAUGCAGGUGCAGCUUGACUUUUAUCUGAGCUAAAAGCAUAUCUAUUUAGUCCUCGUCAAACAGGAUUAUUACUUUUGCUGCAGCUAACAUAAAGGAUAAUUGUCCUCUUUGCUGACUGAUGCAGGAUUUUACGACACUUUAUGUGUUGUUCAACUCGAUCUCAAAUCAAGUAAGACUACCCGCUGAACUUAAGCAUAUCAAUAAGCGGAGGA